rnacentral:rRNA from 1 species
AUUGAACGCUGGCGGCAUGCCUUACACAUGCAAGUCGAACGGUAACAGGUCUUCGGAUGCUGACGAGUGGCGAACGGGUGAGUAAUACAUCGGAACGUGCCCAGACGUGGGGGAUAACGAGGCGAAAGCUUUGCUAAUACCGCAUACGAUCUAAGGAUGAAAGCAGGGGACCGCAAGGCCUUGUGCGUUUGGAGCGGCCGAUGGCAGAUUAGGUAGUUGGUGGGAUAAAAGCUUACCAAGCCGACGAUCUGUAGCUGGUCUGAGAGGACGACCAGCCACACUGGGACUGAGACACGGCCCAGACUCCUACGGGAGGCAGCAGUGGGGAAUUUUGGACAAUGGGCGAAAGCCUGAUCCAGCAAUGCCGCGUGCAGGAUGAAGGCCUUCGGGUUGUAAACUGCUUUUGUACGGAACGAAAAGGCUCUGGCUAAUACCUGGGGCGCAUGACGGUACCGUAAGAAUAAGCACCGGCUAACUACGUG